rnacentral:misc_RNA from 1 species
AGAAUGAACACGUGAAGUAUCUUGAUCGAAAUUAUAGCCUAGCACACAUUUCCCACAGCCAUGUUAGUUCAGCUGCAACUUAUAAUUUUAAGGGCUCCUAUCUAACUAUGAUGAACAAUUUCCUACAAAGGGUAGUUGGGAAUGAUAAUGUUCUCAUGGUUAAGUCAGGAAAGGCGACACAAAAAGAAUUUUCUAGGGUCAAUUACAAGUGCUAUAUAAUGUGAAAGAUGUGCUGAUAGGAGUCAAUCGUAAGGUUAGAAUCCCAGAAGUAAUGAAACUAGUAAUCAAGAUGGGACUAAGAGAUAAAAAGAAAGUCAAAGUAGAUAUUGGGAUGGAUAUCCUUGAAGGAAAGGCAUAAGGGUGAGGGAUGACAAAGGUUAAAGAAUAAGUACAAUAAGUUGAAAAGCUAUCAACACUAGCAGAAACAACAAAAA